UACGUAGGUGGCGAGCGUUGUCCGGAUUUACUGGGCGUAAAGAGCGCGCAGGCGGUCGUAUAAGUCGAAUGUGAAAGCCCCUGGCUCAACUAGGGAGAGUCAUUCGAUACUGUUCGACUCGAAGGCAGGAGAGGGAAGUGGAAUUCCGGGUGUAGUGGUGAAAUGCGUAGAGAUGGGGGAGAACACUCGUGGCGAAGGCGGCCAGCUAGACCAGUUCUGACACUGAGGCGCGAUAGCGUGGGGAGCAAACAGG
rnacentral:rRNA from 1 species